AUGGAGUUUUUUAGAAUUAUUAGGUAGAAUUUUAAUUUUAAUGAACAACAAUUUUUUUAAUACACGAGAAAUAUAAUUGGGACCAGGAUUAGAUACCCUGUUACUUAUAAGUAUAAAAUUUUGGAAUAGUAAUAGUAAUGAAAUUUAACGGAUUUGGCGGCAAGAUAGCUAUUUAGAGGAACCUGCCCUGUAAACGAUGAACCACGAAUUACUUCACUUUUUCUUGGAAUUCAGUUUGUAUACCGCUGUUGUCAGUUAGUUUCCUUAGAAAGCUUUCAUAAAUGAUAAAUUCAAUGACUUCAAGUAAAGGUGCAGCUUAUGGAAAAGAUAGAGGUGGGUUACAUUUAAAGGAAUAAAAACGGAUAAAAUUUUUGAAAUAAAUUUUUGAAGGUGGAUUUAAUUGUAAAGUUUAAUGGAACUUGAUGUUGGCUCUGUCUUGUGUACACACCGCCCGUCGCUCUCUUUUUUAAACGAGAUAAG
rnacentral:rRNA from 1 species